rnacentral:rRNA from 1 species
CAGCAGCCGCGGGAAUACGUAGGUUGCAAGCGUUGUCCGGAAUUAUUGGGCGUAAAGGGCUCGCAGGCGGUUUCUUAAGUCUGAUGUGAAAGCCCCCGGCUCAACCGGGGAGGGUCAUUGGAAACUGGGAAACUUGAGUGCAGAAGAGGAGAGUGGAAUUCCACGUGUAGCGGUGAAAUGCGUAGAGAUGUGGAGGAACACCAGUGGCGAAGGCGACUCUCUGGUCUGUAACUGACGCUGAGGAGCGAAAGCGUGGGGAGCGAACAGGAUUAGAUACCCGCGUAGUCCCUGUCUCUUAUAC